GCCACGAGGCAUGCCAAAUUUGGUAAUCCAAAGGUUCUAGUUUACUAGAAUCAGAACGGAGUGAGCGCUCUUCGUUUUUCGUACCUCUGCGUCGUUUAAUUCUGUGCCUUUCAUUCAAUCAAUAAAACAGAACCGCCUCUUCGACCGUUGCUAUGACAACAGAGAAACGAUCCCGGCGUAUUCCCUGUUGUCUGGCCUACGGUUGCCAGGCAACAACUACACAAAUCCAGGGAAACAUCCGGGAUCGAAGCUUGAUCGUUCGAACGUGGAGCGACUGAGGGACGAGUUUACUCAUCAGAAGUUUGGAGUGUACAAAAAAACAUGGCGACUUCUUCUCUUCCUGUCGUGGAUAACAGCGACUCUGGUCCAAAUCUUACGGGGGAAAAACGAAUAAGAAACAUUUUUGUAACACAGACGGAGGAAACAAGACACAGAGGAGGAGACAAUGUUACGGAGCCUUCAGGCAGACACCAAAGGAGAGGAUUGCACACUUUGCAAAAGGCCCUGGUUCUGAGGAAACAGGCAGAGUUAGAGGAGGUGGACAAGCGUCUUGGGCUGAAAAGACAAGACUUUAGGAACUGUGUGGAGGCUCUGGCUCAGAGAAGGUCUGAACUGGAGAUAAAACAACAGCAGACUAAAGAGAAGGUGAUGAAGUUUGAGAGGUUUGUGGCUGAAAAUGAAGCAAAGCGACGAAGAGCACUGAAGAAAUGUGAAGAAUCCCGACAGCAGAACAUUUUGAAACAGAGAGACAUAGAAGAUUUAACUGAACAACUGAAACAACUCAGAGUCAGGUGAGAACUUGAAGCAAUUCUUUGGAUGUGAACAUUCUUAAAUUACCUACGUAAGACUAUUUUACCAUGUUUUAAUCCACAGAAAGCAACUUUUAAAGAAGAGAAUUACAAAGUACAAAAUCUAUGAGGACUACCUGAUGAAAACACUGGAUUUUCUGCCCAGCAGAGCUGUGGCAGAAACUGAGGCGUAUGGAGAAGGAGGUGGAGCAGGGCCAGCGACAGCUGCAGAACAUGAAGGAGGAGUACAGCAUUAAAAAACUGCUGGCCAACAAAGAGCUGUCUGAACUGCAGGGUGAGUUAGAGACCCUCAAAGAGAAGAACAAGCAGGCGGAGGGGGACUUAAUGAUGGAGCAAGGCCUAUCCAGAAAGAAGAUGGAGGAAGCAGGAAGAGUAUUCGUGGCCAUCAACAACCUUGCAGAGCAGUGUUAUUUGCCAGCAUAUGGACCGCUGGAAAACAUGAGCGUACUAAUGAUGAUGGACAUGGUGAAGGAGUUCAUUCUGGACAGGGCUGACACAGAGAGGAGAGCGAGGAAGCUGAUUGAGUCUGGGUCUGCGGUGACGAGUACAACAGCUGUGACAGACAAAAGAGAGAGGACGUCAAUGAAAAGCAUUGGAAGCAAAACACAAGUCAAAAGUUCAAGUAAAGUCAGCAAAAAGAGCGACACAUUUAGUUGAUGUUGGGAAUGGAAUAUUUACCACAGUGUUGCUCGGCACGGUGUUUGAUGUUGUUGAAUGUGUACUUUCAUUUCCUUGGAC
rnacentral:lncRNA from 1 species